rnacentral:rRNA from 1 species
UACGGGGGGAACAAGCGUUGUUCGGAUUUACUGGGCGUAAAGGGCGCGUAGGCGGCCUCCGCAAGUCAGUUGUGAAAUCUCCGAGCUUAACUCGGAAAGGUCAACUGAUACUGCGGGGCUAGAGUGCGGAAGGGGCAACUGGAAUUCUUGGUGUAGCGGUGAAAUGCGUAGAUAUCAAGAGGAACACCUGCGGCGAAGGCGGGUUGCUGGGCCGACACUGACGCUGAGGCGCGAAAGCUAGGGGAGCAAACGGG